ACGAACGCUGGCGGCGUGCCUAAUACAUGCAAGUCGAACGCAUUUUCUUUCACCGUAGCUUGCUACACCGAAAGAAAAUGAGUGGCGAACGGGUGAGUAACACGUGGGUAACCUGCCCAUCAGCGGGGGAUAACACUUGGAAACAGGUGCUAAUACCGCAUAAUUCCAUUUACCGCAUGGUAAAUGGAUGAAAGGCGCUUUUGCGUCACUGAUGGAUGGACCCGCGGUGCAUUAGCUAGUUGGUGGGGUAACGGCCUACCAAGGCUGCGAUGCAUAGCCGACCUGAGAGGGUGAUCGGCCACACUGGGACUGAGACACGGCCCAGACUCCUACGGGAGGCAGCAGUAGGGAAUCUUCGGCAAUGGACGCAAGUCUGACCGAGCAACGCCGCGUGAGUGAAGAAGGUUUUCGGAUCGUAAAACUCUGUUGUUAGAGAAGAACAAGGAUGAGAGUGGAAAGUUCAUCCCUUGACGGUAUCUAACCAGAAAGCCACAGCUAACUACGUG
rnacentral:rRNA from 1 species